UACAUGGGGUGCAAACGUUGCUCGGAAUUAUUGGGCGUAAAGCGCACGUAGGCGGUUCAUUAAGUCGGAUGUGAAAGCCCUCGGCUCAACUGAGGAAGUGCACCCGAAACUGGCGAGCUUGAGUACGAAAGAGGAUCGCGGAAUUCCCGGUGUAGAGGUGAAAUUCGUAGAUAUCGGGAGGAACACCGGUGGCGAAGGCGGCGAUCUGGGUCGAUACUGACGCUGAGGUGCGAAAGCGUGGGGAGCAAACAGG
rnacentral:rRNA from 1 species